rnacentral:rRNA from 1 species
UUCGCAAUGCCCGAAAGGGUGACGAAGCGACGCCGCGUGGGUGAGGAAGGCCCUCGGGUUGUAAAGCCCUGUCAGGAGUUAAGAAAUGUAAGUGUGUUAAUACCACAUUUAUUUGACGAAGGCUCCAAAGGAAGCCACGGCUAACUCUGUGCCAGCAGCCGCGGUAAUACAGAAGUGGCAAGCGUUGUUCGGAAUUAUUGGGCGUAAAGAGCACGUAGGUGGGUUUGUAAGUCAGAUGUGAAAGCCUUCUGUUCAACGGAAGAAUUGCAUCUGAAACUGCGGAUCUUGAGUAUAGGAGGGGAGAAUGGAACUUCUGGUGGAGCGGUGAAAUGCGUAGAUAUCAGAAGGAACGCCGGCGGCGAAAGCGAUUCUCUGGCCUAUUACUGACACUCAGUGUGCGAAAGCUAGGGGAGCAAACGGGAUUAGAUACCCCGGUAGUCCUAGCCGUAAACGAUGGGCACUAAGUAGAGGGGUUUU